rnacentral:lncRNA from 1 species
CUUUUCAUGCAACAUGCACUACUAUUGUCUUCACAUAUGCACCCUUUUUCCCACAUACUCCAUUCCUUUUGAUAGCUUCUGAAGGUUCGAAGAACCAAUUUUUCCUGUGUCUUCAUACUACUCCUUAGAGCUAUUUAUCAAUCAUCACCUCCAUAUUUCCCUAACUUUCCUCCUUGUUUUCAAACACAUAUGUGUUCCCCCCAAAG